UGUGUGUGUAUGUAUAUUUGAUUGGCUUGAUGUGUGUUGCUUUUUUAUAAACAAAAACCUCAGCUUUCAGGUUUUAUUGCAGUGUUGGCACUUUGCGAUAUAUAAGUGGGUUUUGUGUUAGUUUGGGCACUCAGUCUCUAAAUGUUCACCAUCACUGGGUUGGGGGUAGAAAAACGAGGUGUCCUGGCACGAUUUUGAUGGUUGGGAUGUGUUUAGAAUGGGCAGAAAUGUUGAGCUGUGCAGAAAAAGCUACUCAAGGAAGGCUUUUUCUAAAUCGUCCUAUUUUCAUUGGAACUUUCGCCCGAUAUGAGGAUUAGGGGUGUGCAUGAGGACAGGGUCAGAGUUAGGAAAAAAGGUGUUCUGGUAUGAUAUUGAUGAUUGGAUUGUGUUCAGAAUUUGCAGAAAUGUUGAGCUGUGCAGAAAAAGCUACUCAAAGAAGGCUUUCCCCAAAUCAUCCUCUUUUCUAAGGUAUUUUACUUAUAUAUUAGGCCUUGGGGUGCGCACCAGUGUAGGAUAAGGGUUAGAAAAACAAGGUGUCCUGGUAUGAAUUUCAUGGUUAGAAUGUGUUUUGAAUGGGCAGACAUGAGGAGCUGUGCAGAAAAAGCCACUCAAGGAAAGCUUUUCAAAAGCCAGCCCCUUUUCUAUGGCAUUUUAGUCCUAUAUUGGGUUUGGGUUGUGCACCAAGGUAAGGUUAGCGUUGGCAAAACAUUGUGUCCGGCUUUGAUACUGAUGGUAGGAAUGUUCUUAGACUGGGCAGAAAUGUUGAACCAUGCAGAAAAUGCUUCUCAAGGAGCGCUUUUUCAAAAUCGCCCCCUUUUCCAUGGAACAUUCGCCCUAUAGUAGGAUUAGGGGUGUGCAUGAGGGCAGGGGCAGGGAUAGAAAAACGAGAUGUCCUGGUUUGAUUUUGAUGGUUGGAUUGUGCUUAGAAUGGGGAGAAAUGUUGAGCUGUGCAGAAAAAGCUACUCAAGAAAAAGUCUUUCAAAAUUAUCCUCUUUCAUAUGGUAUUUUAGCCCUACAUUAGGGUUGGGGUGUGCACCAGGGUAGGGUUAGUGUUAGAAAAAAAAGGUGUCCUGGUAUGAUUUUGAUGGUUGGAAUGUGCUUACUAUGGGCAGAAAUCUUAAACUGUGCAAAAACAGCAACUCAAGGAAGGCUUUUU